rnacentral:lncRNA from 1 species
UGCCGAGGAGUGACAUCUGCUCUGAGAAGAUGCUGAGGAGAAAAGCAAGCAGUACAUAUGGUCUCCUAUCGGGGCCAAAGGAGCUGGAGGCGGAUUUCUCGUGGAUGUUGGCUCAUGAGGGGGAAAAUGGCUGGAGCUUCUCUCAGCUGGCCACUAGAGUCAGCUGAUGGUGCUUCAGACCACCCACGACUGUCUACAGGAGCAGAACUUCAUAUUGGAGAAGGUGAGCAGCCACCAGCUUAUAGUAACAAGAUAAGAAACCCAAGCCAGUCAGCCAAGACGGAAAUGAGACCAUCAGUAUGAGAUGCAGCCUCUUGGUGACACUCUGAGAAGUCACCCUGACUUGUUUCGGAGGAGAAACGCACUUGUUCUAGUCUUCACAUUUCUGGGCUCCUGAAAGGGACAGUGUUAAGGAGACACUGGCUAUAUAAGAAGGCAUGGACAUCCCCUCAAAGUCUUCUAACCUUGCCAGAAGCUCAUCUGUGUGAUUCCUCCAACAGGACCACGUGGGGUCAGAAAGGUGGCCUGAAGACACUGCUAGAUACUUCCUUAGCAUCUAUAAACCUGUACGUGUGGCUCUUCAUUUUCUAAAUAGCAAGACUUCCCCAGAGCCCUGGCAGGAGCUAGAGCAUCCUCCUUGGCCCUCACAACCAAACACUAUGCAACCUGCAGGGAGUCCUUGUCCCCUUAGCGCAGGACAAUAUUUUCACAAAGUAAAAAGUAGCAAAGUAUUUUUUAAAAGCAUUGGGAGGGGGCUGGAGAGAUGGCUCAGAGGUUAAGAUCACCGACUGCUCUUCCAGAGGUCCUGAGUUCAAUUCCCAGCAACCACAUGGUAGCUCACAACCAUCCUUGAUGAGAUCUGGUGCCCUCUUCUGGUGUGCAGAUAUACAUGGAAGCA